GGCCAGACUCCUACGGGAGGCAGCAGUGGGGAAUAUUGCACAAUGGGGGGAACCCUGACGCAGCGACGCCGCGUGAGUGAAGAAGUAUUUCGGUAUGUAAAGCUCUGUCAGCAGGGAAGAAGAAAGACGGUACCUGACCAAGAAGCCCCGGCUAACUACGUGCCGGCAGCCGCGGUAAUACGUAGGGGGCAAGCGUUAUCCGGAUUUACUGGGUGUAAAGGGAGCGUAGACGGCAGCGCAAGUCUGGAGUGAAAUGCCGGGGCCCAACCCCGGAACUGCUCUGGAAACUGUGCAGCUAGAGUGCGGGAGAGGUAAGCGGAAUUCCUAGUGUAGCGGUGAAAUGCGUAGAUAUUAGGAGGAACACCAGUGGCGAAGGCGGCUUACUGGACCGUAACUGACGUUGAGGCUCGAAAGCGUGGGGAGCAAACAGGAUUAGAUACCCUGGUAU
rnacentral:rRNA from 1 species